GGGUCGGGGGCCUCGGGGGACGCCGUGCUCACGGCGAGGACGCCGGUGGCGUGGCGGGUCCACGGCUCGGCCUCCGCGCCGGUCCC
rnacentral:tRNA from 1 species